rnacentral:rRNA from 1 species
GACGAACGCUGGCGGCGUGCUUAACACAUGCAAGUCGAGCGGUAAGGCCCUUCGGGUACGACGAGCGGCGAACGGGUGAGUAACACGUGGGUGACCUGCCUUUAGCUCUGGGAUAAGCCUGGGAAACUGGGUCUAAUACCGGAUAUGACCUCAUGACGCAUGUUGUGGGGUGGAAAGCCUUGUGCGGCUAGAGAUGGGCCCGCGGCCUAUCAGCUUGUUGGUGGGGUGAUGGCCACCAAGGCGACGACGGUAGCCGGCCUGAGAGGGCGACCGGCCACACU